UCUACUUUUUAGCCACUUAAUAGUUUAAUUAGCGCACGGCUCAUCAUUUGAGCCAUUCCCCUAUACCCGAGGCUAUUCAUUUGCUUCGGGUUUUUUUUG
rnacentral:sRNA from 1 species